rnacentral:rRNA from 1 species
GUGCAGCAGUCGCGAAUAGUCUACAAUGGACGAAAGUCUGAUAGUGCGACGCCGUGUGUGCGAUUAAUUCCUUCGGGAUGUAAAGCACUUUUCUAUGAGAUAAAAGCUCUUUAGGUUAAUAGCUUAUUGAGACGGAUAUUAUUAUAGGAAUAAGCUCCGGCUAACUCCGUGCCAGCAGCCGCGGUAAUACGGAAGGAGCGAGCGUUGUCCGGAUUUACUAGGCGUAAAGGGCUAGUAGGCGACUAAUUAAGUUAUAUGUUAAAUCCCACGGCUCAACUGUGGUCCUGCAUGUAAUACUGGUUAGAUAGAGUACUGUAGAGGAAGGCAGAAUUCCUGGAGUAGCGGUGGAAUGCGCAGAUAUCAGGAAGAAUACCAAAAGCGAAGGCAGCCUUCUGGGCAGUUACUGACGCUGAAUAGCGAAGGUGUAGGUAGCGAACAGGAUUAGAUA